UACGUAGGUGGCGAGCGUUGUCCGGAUUUACUGGGCGUAAAGGAUGCGUAGGCGGAUUUUUAAGUGAGAUGUGAAAUACCCGAGCUCAACUUGGGUGUUGCAUUUCAAACUGGGCAUCUAGAGUGCAGGAGAGGAAAGCGGAAUUCCUAGUGUAGCGGUGAAGUGCGUAGAGAUUAGGAAGAACACCAGUGGCGAAGGCGGCUUUCUGGACUGUAACUGACACUGAGGCGUGAAAGCGUGGGUAGCAAAC
rnacentral:rRNA from 1 species